GACGAACGCUGGCGGCGUGCUUAACACAUGCAAGUCGAACGAGAAUCUGUGGAAAGAGGAUUCGUCCAAUUGAAGCAGAGGACAGUGGCGGACGGGUGAGUAACGCGUGAGGAACCUGCCUUUCAGAGGGGGACAACAGUUGGAAACAACUGCUAAUACCGCAUAACAUAUAGAUGUCGCAUGGCAUUUAUAUCAAAGAUUUAUCGCUGAAAGAUGGCCUCGCGUCUGAUUAGCUAGUUGGUGAGGUAACGGCCCACCAAGGCGACGAUCAGUAGCCGGACUGAGAGGUUGAACGGCCACAUUGGGACUGAGAUACGGCCCAGACUCCUACGGGAGGCAGCAGUGGGGAAUAUUGGGCAAUGGGCGCAAGCCUGACCCAGCAACGCCGCGUGAAGGAAGAAGGCUUUCGGGUUGUAAACUUCUUUUGUCAGGGACGAGUAGAAGACGGUACCUGACGAAUAAGCC
rnacentral:rRNA from 1 species